UGCGCAAGAAGUGGAGAGGGUGCAGAGGAUUGCAGAAGAAACCUCGACAGGCCUCUAUGGGCGCCGCCAGGAAGAGAUCAAGCGGAAUGGACAUGUAUUUAGAGAGUGUGCUUUUCGCCAACUGUCCAGAUUAUUUUGAAUACUUUCACCGCUGCUACAACACAACCACUUUCGAGUGGGCACUUGUGCCAGUUUUUUGUCAAUAAAUCCUCUUAUUUACUUAUUCA